rnacentral:lncRNA from 1 species
UGACUGUAACACUUGAGGAAUGGGUUAUAGUUACUAUUAACAGCACUCGUGAAGGGAGAGGGGAAUAUUAAAACAGAGACUUGACCUUUCCCAGUCCCACACACAGAGGAUUGUCUGAGAAAAGGACUGUUUCAUUCAGUAUGUUUCACAUCGGAUUUGUGCUGCUGUCAAAGAGAAGCCAUUAUCUGAUUUGAAACAGGGAUGCUUGGCAAGACGUUUCGGGCAAUCCGGAUGGAUAUGUGUUUGCUUUUGCCCUACUUUCAUUCUACUCAGAAUUCGGAAUGAUAACCAUCUCACAGAUCUCAAUACGUGCUUCCAUUCCAGCAAAAGAUCAAGCAUUGAGUGAUUGUCACCCAAAGGACAUAGCAAAACACAGUGAUGUUACAUCUCAUUCUCUGACUGAACAUCAUGAAUCUGGUACCUCAACACAGCACCCCAGAGCUUCCAGGCCAAGGAAUACUGUACACAAUCAGCAUGUUAUUAAUGAGUGAGCUACAUGCUGCUAGGCAUAUUCUUAAAGACCUAGCAAACUCCUGAGGUGACUCCCGGUUCACCUGAUGUUGGCACCAAUACUUGCCUCACAGCCCUAUGCUAAAUGUUCUUGUCCUCUCUCCUCCAUGCUAUUGUGUUAGAUAUGCGGAAAGAAUUCAUCUGUGGGCCAUCUUGAAAGAAUUCUCCCACUUUCUCUAUGACAUGAAUAUGGAAGGACCUCUAUUUUUGCUUUUUAUCUUUUUAAAUGAAACUUGCUGUUUUCAGACAUGCUUUGAUGUAGCA